rnacentral:rRNA from 1 species
UACGUAGGGUGCGAGCGUUGUCCGGAAUUAUUGGGCGUAAAGAGCUCGUAGGCGGUUUGUCGCGUCUGCUGUGAAAUCCUCAGGCUCAACUUGGGGCGUGCAGUGGGUACGGGCAGACUAGAGUGCGGUAGGGGAGACUGGAAUUCCUGGUGUAGCGGUGAAAUGCGCAGAUAUCAGGAGGAACACCGAUGGCGAAGGCAGGUCUCUGGGCAUUAACUGACGCUGAGACGCGAAAGCGUGGGGAGCAAACAGG